rnacentral:rRNA from 1 species
GACGAACGCUGGCGGCGUGCCUAAUACAUGCAAGUCGAGCGAAGCGGCGGAUGGGUGAGUAACGCGUGGGUAACCUGCCCUUAAGUCUGGGAUAUCAUUUGGAAACAGAUGCUACUACAGGAUACUAAAGGACGCACCUUCGGUGCAUGAGCUAGUUGGUAAGGUAACGGCUUACAAGGGCGAUGAUGCAUAGCCGAGUUGAGAGACUGAUCGGCCACAGUGGGACUGAGACACGGCCCAAACUCCUACGGGAGGCAGCAGUAGGGAAUCUUCCACAAUGGACGAAAGUCUGAUGGAGCAACGCCGCGUGAGUGAAGAAGGUUUUCGGAUCGUAAAGCUCUGUUGUUGGUGAAGCGGUAAUCAACCAGAAAGUCACGGCUAACUACGUGCCAGCAGCCGCGGUAAUUC